rnacentral:rRNA from 1 species
UACAGGGGGGGCAAGCGUUGUUCGGAAUUACUGGGCGUAAAGGGCUCGUAGGUGGCCAACUAAGUCAGACGUGAAAUCCCUCAGCUUAACUGGGGAACUGCGUCUGAUACUGGAUGGCUUGAGUUUGGGAGAGGGAUGCGGAAUUCCAGGUGUAGCGGUGAAAUGCGCAGAUAUCAGGAGGAACACCGAUGGCGAAGGCAGGUCUCUGGGCCACUACUGACGCUGAGAAGCGAAAGCAUGGGGAGCGAACAGG